rnacentral:rRNA from 1 species
AUGCUUGUUGAAGUGAAUCGCACAACUCUUUCUUUCUGCUGUUGGAAUGUUCGUGGUUUGGGCCAACCACAGAAGUGUUUAGAUGUCCCGGCGGAGCUCAUUAUGAUUAGACCACACACCUGUUUUCUCCAAGAAACCAAACUAACGGCCCCCGAUUCUGUGAAAAUAGAAUCAUUCAUCCCCCGACAACUUGACUUGUCUCACCACAAGGACGCCCUAGGUUCCUCGGGCGGCAUCCUCUCUGCCCUCUCAUCUGCUCACUUCACUGUCAUUAGCUCUAUGUGUUCCAAUUUCACACUGACCCUCACGGUCUCCACCUUGGCCUCCCCAUCCCAGCUUCGAAUCACAAAUGUUUAUGCCCCAACGGAUCAUGCACUCAAACCCAGCUUCUUAGCGGAACUUGCUUCUCUCCCACCCCCUCAAAACCCCUGGAUUAUCCUUGGCGACUUCAACCUAAUGCGAUCGGCGCUUGAUAAAAACAGUGACGCCUUUCGCCAGCACGAGGUGGACCUCUUCAACCAAUGCAUAAACUCCCUGGCCCUCAUUGAGCUCCCCUUGAUCGACAGAGCCUUCACCUGGUCAAACAAGCGUGACCAACCAACCUUAGAAAAACUAGACAGAGUUUUCAUCAACUCUGCUUGGGACCUUACCUUCCUGGACUCUUCGGUCUCAAGCCUUACGCGCUUUGUUUCCAAUCACGGUACCCUGAUCAUCUCUAUUAAUACUGGCAUCCCUCGCCCGCUCUCUUCCGCUUCCAGCUCGGUUGGGCCCAAAAUCCGGCCUGCCGAUCCGCAGUCCUAG